rnacentral:rRNA from 1 species
GAUGAACGCUGACAGAAUGCUUAACACAUGCAAGUCAACUUGAACUUCGGUUUGGGUGGCGGACGGGUGAGUAACGCGUAAAGAACUUGCCUCACAGCUAGGGACAACAUUUGGAAACGAAUGCUAAUACCUGAUAUUAUGAUUAUAUGGCAUCGUAUAAUUAUGAAAGCUAUAUGCGCUGUGUGAGAGCUUUGGGUCCCAUUAGCUAGUUGGAGAGGUAACAGCUUACCAAGGCGAUGAUGGGUAGCCGGCCUGAGAGGGUGAUCGGCCACGAGGGAACUGAGACACGGCCCUUACUCCUACGGGAGGCAGCAGUGGGGAAUAUUGGACAAGGGACCGAGAGUCUGAUCCAGCAAUUCUGUGUGGACGAUGAAGUUUUUCGGAAUGUAAAGUGCUUUCAGUUGAGAAGAAAAAAAUGACGGUACCAACAGAAGGAGCUAGGGCUAAAUACGUG